CUGGGACUAUAGGUUGGGCUUGAAGGAGAAUAUGAUGGAGAUGUUGGAGAGUACGAAGGUGACGUAGGACUGCAAAAACAAGACCACAUUUAAUCACGUCAUUAGUAAUAUACCAAGAGCCAGUCAGAAAUCUACCAAUACAAACCCCGACGAUUUCAGAAACUAACUAGUUAUAAUGAAACUGACUUUAAACCAGAGAUAAAUUAGGUAAAGCAGCGUAAUUAAGAUUAAGGCACUAGUAAAGUCGAUGUAUUAUUAUCGAACAGAGGCAACUUGAGCCUUUCCUGUCCGGCAAACGAAUCAAGACACCUGUAUCAAACAAAGGUUGUUUACCUGUAACUUGGAGAUGACGGGCUGUAAGGACUAGAAGGAGACAGCUUCGGGCUGGUUGGCGAAUAUGCAAGGGAGGGGCUGUAUCUUGCCGAGGGAUUGUAACUUGGUGAUGUAGGACUGUAGGAUGGUGAUGUUGGGCUAUAGCUGGGAGAUGUUGGGCUGUAACCAGGGGAGGUAGGACUGUAUGCAGGAGAAGUCGGACUAUAUGAAGGGGAAGUUGGACUAUAAGUUGGUGAGGUGGGGCUAUAUGAAGGCGACGUGGGGCUGUAUGAAGGUGAAGUGGGACUGUAAGAUGGGGAAGUGGGGCUGUAAGAUGGAGAAGUGGGGCUAUAGGCAGGAGAAGUAGGGCUGUAGGCAGGAGAAGUAGGACUGUAAGCAGGAGAAGUAGGACUAUAACUGGGCGAUGUUGGGCUAUAGCUAGGUGAUGUUGGGCUGUAGCUCGGAGAUGUUGGGCUAUAACUGGGUGAUGUGGGUGAGUAUGAUGGACUGGUUGGAGAAUAUGCUGGACUUGUUGGGCUGUAGCCAGGGGAGCUUGGGCUAUAAGUGGGGGAAGUUGGGCUGUACCCAGGGGAUGUGGGGCUGUAGCCCGGGGAAGUGGGGCUGUAACCUGGAGAGGUCGGGCUAUAACCAGGGGAUGAUGGACUAUAACCAGGGGAUGACGGGCUGUAUCCAGGGGAUGAAGUGGG
rnacentral:lncRNA from 1 species